rnacentral:rRNA from 1 species
CAGCAGCCGCGGGAAUACGGAGGGGGCUAGCGUUGUUCGGAAUUACUGGGCGUAAAGCGCACGUAGGCGGCUUGGUAAGUUAGAGGUGAAAGCCCAGGGCUCAACCCUGGAAUUGCCUUUAAGACUGCCGAGCUAGUAGGUGAGAGAGGUAAGUGGAAUUCCGAGUGUAGAGGUGAAAUUCGUAGAUAUUCGGAAGAACACCAGUGGCGAAGGCGGCUUACUGGCUCAUUCUAGACGCUGAGGUGCGAAAGCGUGGGGAGCAAACAGGAUUAGAUACCCCCGUAGUCCCUGUCUCUUAUAC